AUCCCGAUGAGGAAAAAAUCCCCUAAAUAGAUAGGAAGUGCCGUAUGACACUUUACACAGCAGCGCCUACAUUCAAGAACUCUCUCAAUACUUCCGACAACCGAUUAUUUGUUAAUCGGCCGGAUUUAUUAGGUUUUCGCGGUGUUUCCGUUGUGUGGGUGAUUUGAAACGGGUCCCUGAGGGUU